UGACGAGGUCACGGGGGGCUGGCCCGCAGCCAGGCUGGGCUGCCAUGCUGCUCUGGCAGUGCCUGCCCGGGAGCCCAUCACAUCCUCGGGCACUCACAGGAUUUCUGCAGCUCUGGGCGGCUCCUCUGGCUGCUCUGCUCUGCUCUAGGAGCCCGUCCUCGGAGCUGCUGCAGCCUCCCGACAUAAACCCCGCUUUGUUGGGCCGAGAUGACCCGGCUGAGCCGCAUGAUCCGUCAGGUGACAGCUGGGCACCAGAGCGAGGAGAAUGAGCGGCGGGGCGAGGGCGCCGGCUGCUUUCCUGCCUCUGCACAGGCUCUGCUGCUCCUCGGGGGAAAAUGAGCGCCUGGCUCUGUCCUGUGCUGUGCAGCUUCACCGCGGUGUGUUUAGCAGGUAUUGCUUUUGGCCAGACAACCAGCACUGAGGUCCCAGUUACAUCAACCCCAGCACCUGCCAGUGCAACCAGCACUGAGGUUCCCAUUGCAUCCACCCCAGCACNCCAGUGCAACCAGCACUGAGGUUCCCAUUGCAUCCACCCCAGCACCUCCCAGUGCAACCACUGCUACGGCCUCUUCUCCCCCAACUGCUCCUGCAACACUCUCAGCUGGACUGACACCAACCACUGCAAACCCUGCUGCAUCCACAGCAGCUCCAUCUGCUGAUCCAAGCACAAAAACCCCUGCCCAGACUCUGCCCCCCACCACGGGGACCGUCCCCACCUCUGGCAGCAGGGCCACCUCUCAGGCAUCUUCAGCAGUGACGGCCACAUCCAGCAGUGCCCCAGUGUCCCCUCCAGGAGUGACCACAUCCCCUGGGCUCCCCAGCACCCCCCAGCCCUCCAACUGCAGCAGAGUGAAUGUGACAGCCUGUGCCCCCUGCCCCCCAGGGACUGUCCCCACCCAAGGCACCUUGAGCUGUUCGUGCUGCGCGGGGGGCUCGUGCAUUGGCCCCAGUGCCUGCAGCCCCUGCCCACCUGGCCACUACCAGCCCCAAAGUGGGCAACCAUCCUGCCUGCCCUGCUCACAGGGGUAUUACACCAGGCUAUUUUAGCUCCAAGCAAAAUGCAGCUUUUUGUCUGCCUUGCCAGCCAGGAUCAUUUUGCAAGUACAUUCAAAGGCCCCAGUGACAACAGAUGCAAGGCCUGCAGGACAGGAGAGUACCAGCUACAGCGGGGCAAGGAGAGCUGUGAGCUGUGCCCAGAAAACCACUACUGCCCUAGCCCAGAUGUGAAGCCAGUGAAGUGCCCUCCUGAUGCCUUCUGCCCCAGGGGCAGCGUGGAGCCCUCCUACUGCAUGGAGCUCUUCCUGUACAAGGCAGGGGAGUCCUGCCAGCUGACCCCUGCCACCGUCAUUGUCCUGGCCACCUUCUCAGCAGGUCAGUCUGGCUCCUCUCUGUCCUCUGCUAAAACCCCUCUGCAGCUGUGUUGAACCAAGCACUCUCUGGGUGGUGUAUUCUGUGUUUCUGGAAAGCAGGAUUUCUAAUGAAAGUCCUUCUGGCUGCUUUC
rnacentral:lncRNA from 1 species